GGAUGUGAGGUGAGCUGGUUGAGCUAUCUGCCACCCCAUUCACCAGGGCUGAUUCAGCUGACCUGGUGAGCUAGGCAGGUGCUGCCAUCCUCCCUAGCCACAACAGGUGCAUCCCUUCUCAACCUGCAGAGUCAGCUGAAGAAGAGGGUAUUUCCAUAGAGACUUCUCCAGCCGAGUAUAUGAGGUCUCUUAUUAGAACCUCCAAUCAAGUGAUCAAGUUACAGCACGAAUAUUGGAUGUGGCACAAACAUUCAAAGCAUGACAUCACAAACAUUCAUGCACAUGCACACACACACACACACACACGCACGCACAUUUCACAU
rnacentral:snRNA from 1 species